UCUCUUGAGUUGAAGGUGUAAAGCCCAAAGGAAAAGUGUGAGGCCCAAAAAUAGGUUGGACCCAGGGUGACCCGGUCGGACUGACCCGGAUCCGAAACCCAACCUUCUAAAACCUGAGAAACAGGAUUCGAUUAGGUUUGAAAACCCCUAAUCUCUCCUUCAACGGCACUCUCACCGCUCACACUCUCCGACUCUAUCUCUCUCGUUAUCGUUAUCUCGAUCUCUCUGCUAUGGCUACAACAACAAUUAACCGAAUACAUCCCUCUCGCCUCUAAUCAAAACACAAAAACUAAAUGAAAUCAAGCAUGAGAUUUAAACCCCAUUCAAAUCCCUUCCCAAAUUGUUUCAGCAAUUCAGUAUGAAGUUAUAAGUUACAAGCAGCAUAAUAGUCAAAGGGAAGAACAAGAAAACAUAAACAGAUCUUCAAGACUGAUCACAUAAUCGUAACAAAAGGGUUACCGAUUUCACGCGACUCCAGCUACUGCUUCGAGGUUUUUUGAAUGAAGGUUUGUUCAAUGUGUGGAGGUCAGUUUGGCUAUGAAGAUGUUGAUAAAACAGUUAUGAAUCGGGUGAAAACAGGGUGAGAUCCUUCUAGUUUCUUUAUCUCUGAAUCUCUUCUACAUUUCUGAAGGGUUUUGUGUUGAUGGAAAAUGAUGAUGAAAAUAUUUAGGGUUUCAAUGAAUCUGUGUUAUAUGAACUGAGCAUUGUGUUCUUCCUUUUUACCAUUUCUGCAGAUUUGUUUCUUUUGGUAUGAUGAACAAAUUGAUGGUUUUUGGUUGUUUGGUCUCUGCUGCGGCUAGGGCUUGCAGAUGAGCCUCCCCUUCCUUCAAUGAAACAGUGUAAUAUAUAGUCUCUAGGUUUGGGGACAAUUCUAGGGUUGGAUAGAAAUGUUUAGGUUUGGAAACUGAUUGGGAAAGAAUGCAGUGUACUUUUGUAUGGCAGUUUGUGUUUUUGCCAAUUUUGUGCAAUAUUUUGUGAAUUUUCAUGUGCCCAUGUUUGCAUUUUCCCUCUCUUUUUCUUUUGAAUUUGGGCUGAUUUUGUUGUUUUUUUUUUUUAUUUGUGUAGGUCUUAUGCAGCGUGGAACAAGGCCUUUGGAAAUGAGCAUGAAAGAUGUUUGGAGAAUGGAAAAUUUUGAGGGCUAGGAUUAGAUUAUCAUGAACUCUCUUGUAAUCCCUUUGUUAUAGUACUUCAAAAAUGAAACACCAUAAUAUAUUGUAACUAUAUUUAGUAAACCUUGGAUGGUAAUUGGUGACAUAUUUGAAUGCAACUUGAAAAUUUGAAUAAUGUCUUGAAUGAGUUAUAAACAAUGUGAUGAAUUUUGGUA